AUACGUAGGGGGCGAGCGUUGUCCGGAAUUACUGGGCGUAAAGGGUGCGUAGGCGGCCGAUUAAGUCAGAUGUGAAAUACCACGGCUCAACUGUGGGGGUGCAUAUGAAACUGGUUGGCUUGAGUGCAGGAGAGGAAAGUGGAAUUCCUAGUGUAGCGGUGAAAUGCGUAGAGAUUAGGAGGAACACCAGUGGCGAAGGCGACUUUCUGGACUGUAACUGACGCUGAGGCACGAAAGCGUGGGGAGCAAACAGGAUUAGAUACCCUGGUAGUCCACGCCGUAAACGAUGGAUACUAGGUGUAGGGGGUAUCGACCCCCCUGUGCCGGAGUUAACGCAAUAAGUAUCCCGCCUGGGGAGUACGGCCGCAAGGCUGAA
rnacentral:rRNA from 1 species